UCUCCACAGUCACUGAACACACAGGUUCUCGCCAUGGGAUGGAGCUGGAUCAUCCUCUUCCUGGUGACAGCAGCUACAGGUGUCCAAUCACAGGUUCAGCUUCAGCAGUCUGGGCCUGAGCUUGGGAAACCUGGUUUCUCAGUGAAGCUGUCAUGCAAGGCUUCAGGCUCCACCUUCACUGGCUACUAUAUGCACUGGGUGAAGCAGAGGCCUGGACAGGGCCUGGAGUGGAUUGGAUGGAUUGGUACUUCAAGUGGUAAUACUAAAUACGCACAGAAUUUCCAGGGCAAGGCCACGCUGAGUAGAGACAUAUCCUCCAGCACAGCAUACAUGGAGCUCAUCAGCCUGACAUCUGAGGACUCUGCCAUCUAUUUCUGUGCAAGAGACACAGUGGUGCAACUACAUCCUGAGUGUGUCAGAAACCAUGGAGGAGCAGGAAGCUCCGCAAGAAUGUAGAUGACAGAAAGAUCAGUCUUGGGACUUGCUCAGAAAUAAUCAUUCUCCUGUUCCCUUCUCUCCCUCCUUCUCAACGUCUUAUAUUUCUUAAUACAACUUUGUAAAAGACAUCUGAGUGAAAAAUGGUUUUGUCUUAGGAUGCCUCUAGAGGACCCCAUAUCAUGAGAAAGUGUUGAGUUGUGACUGCCUGAAUUGACACAGUUCUUUAAUAAAACAACAAAAAGGGAAACUGUGAUGAAGAAUUAUGGUAAAAAUACAUCUUUAUCUUGAGUGCUGGGACGUUUUGCAGCAAGAACUGACAAUAAAGUACAAUACAUAUUUGACAUGUGCAAUCAAAA